AUUGAACGCUGGCGGUAGGCCUAACACAUGCAAGUCGAACGGCAGCACAGGAGAGCUUGCUCUCUGGGUGGCGAGUGGCGGACGGGUGAAGAAUACAUCGGAAUCUACUCUGUCGUGGGGGAUAACGUAGGGAAACUUACGCUAAUACCGCAUACGACCUACGGGUGAAAGCAGGGGACCUUCGGGCCUUGCGCGAUUGAAUGAGCCGAUGUCGGAUUAGCUAGUUGGCGGGGUAAAGGCCCACCAAGGCGACGAUCCGUAGCUGGUCUGAGAGGAUGAUCAGCCACACUGGAACUGAGACACGGUCCAGACUCCUACGGGAGGCAGCAGUGGGGAAUAUUGGACAAUGGGCGCAAGCCUGAUCCAGCCAUACCGCGUGGGUGAAGAAGGCCUCCGGGUUGUAAAGCCCUUUUGUCGGGAAAGAAAUCCAGCUGGCUAAUACCCGGUUGGGAUGACGGUACCCAAAGAAUAAGCACCGGCUAACUUCGUGCCAGCCGCCGCGGUAA
rnacentral:rRNA from 1 species